CGCGUGACUGCUUGCAGGCAGAGCGCUAUGGCGAUUAGCAGAACAAACAUACAUGAGCAAGUAGGGCAAUAGCCCGGAAUGCGAAUGUAUGUAGCAUUUCGAGAGUGCGAAGCACGGAGAAAUGCGU
rnacentral:sRNA from 1 species